CUCAUCUGGAGAAACAGGACAGAUGGUCUGGUUCAAUUCAGGAUUGUGGUUUCGUGCCCUGCAUGAUUCACCAGUGAAGAGAAAUUCAUUAACAGCACGAUCAGUGGCUGAGUGCAGAUGCAGAUAAAUAAGGAUACUGGGUGUGUUCUGGAUACUACACAGCAGCACCAUUGAUAUGAAUAAGAUGUUGGAAACAAUGAUGGUAAG
ensembl:lncRNA